UUCAAGUCUUCUUCAAUACAGUAUGAUGUUCAUUUAGUAAAUCAUGGUCCCAUUUAGAGUCAAAUAGACCAUAAAGCAGGGGAUGCCUUAGGACGUGGCUACCUUGUGAUUGACAGGUCGCUACAACGGCUUUGUCCGGUCUGGUAGUUGUCUUGUGUUUUCAGUUCAUUAAAGUUAAUUAUAACCUUUUUGGUCGCCU